AUGUAUUUUAAUGUGCUUGCUCACUCAUUCGGUAUGUAUGUAGUCUAUAUUGAAAUAUCUUAUAAUGGUGACGGAGGGUUUACUGUACUGGAAUAUGCGCCAGAUAGAGUCGCCUCCACCGAGUCUGAUGUGCCUGCAGAGAAGAUGGGUUCAAGCAUGGCUGAUGUGUUGCGAGCAAAAUCAUGGGCAUGCCCGACUAUCCUCCUUCAGGGUGCCUUGAAUUUUUGGUCAGUCCACUCCUCUAAUCUUUUGCUUGGACUUCCUUUUUUGAUCAGUUUGGUCGACUCAUCUAAUCUUUGUACUGUUUUUUAA
rnacentral:rRNA from 1 species